rnacentral:rRNA from 1 species
AAGGUGAUGCCUGCCCGGUGACAUGACGUUUAACGGCCGCGGUAUCCUGACCGUGCGAAGGUAGCGCAAUCAAUUGUCCCGUAAAUCGGGACACGUAUGAAUGGCUAAACGAGGUCUUAACUGUCUCUUACAGGCAAUCGGUGAAAUUGAUCUCCCUGUGCAAAAGCAGGGAUAACUACAUAAGACGAGAAGACCCUGUGGAACUUUAAAAACAGCAACCACCCCAAAAUACAUACACCCCCACCUCGGGCUCACUAUUUAUUGGGACGAUGGUCUGCAUUUUUUCGGUUGGGGCGACCUUGGAGCAAAACAAAACCUCCAAAUAUGGGACCAUUCCUCCAGACUAAGAGCAACCCCUCAAAGUGCUAAUAGCCACCAGAUCCAAUAUAAUUGAUCAAUGGACCAAGCUACCCCAGGGAUAACAGCGCAAUCUCCUCCAAGAGUCCAUAUCGACGGGGAGGUUUACGACCUCGAUGUUGGAUCAGGACAUCCUAGCGGUGCAGCAGCUGCUAAGGGUUCG